UAACACGUGGGUAACCUGCCCAUCAGAGGGGGAUAACAUUCGGAAACGGAUGCUAAAACCGCAUAGGUCUUCGAACCGCAUGGUUUGAAGAGGAAAAGAGGCACAAGCUUCUGCUGAUGGAUGGACCCGCGGUGCAUUAGCUAGUUGGUGAGGUAACGGCUCACCAAGGCCGUGAUGCAUAGCCGACCUGAGAGGGUGAUCGGCCACGUUGGGACUGAGACACGGCCCAA
rnacentral:rRNA from 1 species